rnacentral:rRNA from 1 species
AACGAACGCUGGCGGCAUGCCUAACACAUGCAAGUCGAACGAGACCUUCGGGUCUAGUGGCGCACGGGUGCGUAACGCGUGGGAACCUGCCCUUAGGUUCGGAUUAACUCCCCGAAAGGGGUGCUAAUACCGGAUAAUGUCUUCGGACCAAAGAUUUAUCGCCUUUGGAUGGGCCUGCGUUGGAUUAGCUAGUUGGUAGGGUAAAAGCCUACCAAGGCGACGAUCCAUAGCUGGUCUGAGAGGAUGAGCAGCCACACUGGGACUGAGACACGGCCCAGACUCCUACGGGAGGCAGCAGUGGGGAAUAUUGGACAAUGGGCGAAAGCCUGAUCCAGCAAUGCCGCGUGAGUGAUGAAGGCCGUAGGGUUGUAAAGCUCUUUUACCCGGGAUGAUAAUGACAGUACCGGGAGAAUAAGCUCCGGCUAACUCCGUG